GGUGAAGCUUAUCAUAUUGCUUCAAAUAGAUAUUAUGUCCGUGAGCAGGUAAGCAUUUGUACCUUUGUAUAUAGUUCGAUAUAAUUAUGCUUUGUCACAUAUAUGAGUUUUGACAUUAUUCUUGCAGGCUAUAGGGGCACUGGGUAAUGUUUCUGCUCAUUCAGUACACCGUAACUAUGUUCUUAACUGUGGGGCAUUUUGCCACUGUUGAAUCAGCUUUCCAAAGAUACUACUUCACUUCUCGACGCUCAGAGUUGCCACUCUGACUUUGUGUCACUUGUAUCGUGGCAAGCCUUGGCUUACCUUCGAACAGGUGAAUUAUGCACUAGAACUACAUCUUUAUUCAUAUGAUGAGAAAGUCUUGGGAAAUGUUUGCUCGGUGAUUCGGUUUCUGUGUGAUGGUUCAGAAGAUGGAAUCCGGGGUGUGACCGAGGCUGGUUUUGUCCCAAAAGUAGUUGAAGAUCUCCAGUUAAUUAACGCCCUUCCCAAUCUGUGCUUAUUCCUGUACUGCAUAUCAUUGGCACUAUUGUUAGUAAAUAUAGUCACCAGAUCCAAGUAUGUAAUUAAUAUUUUAUUUAUUUUGUCCAAUCUUCUGGAGUUAUCGUUUAUCAAAUUGAUAGAAUGUUUAUAUCACUACACCACCUAUUAGUAGAGAGGACUCAGUGCUUGCUUUGUUAUAUGUUCCUUGGUUUACAAUGUUGUGAUUAGAUUUUGUAACCAAACAACGAAGUGCUCUGAAUAAACCUCUUUGAACUUAUUCUUCAGUGUGUGAUCAACUGUGGUGUUUUACCCCUUCUUUCCCACUUGUUUACUCAAAACUAUGACAAAAACAUAUAGGAAUACACUUUCUUGACGAUUUCAAGAAUCACUGCAGACUUAAGAGAACAAAUUCAGUCAGUUAUUGAUGCAAAUUUGAUUCCAAGGUUAGUCAAUCUGGCUCAAAAUACGGAAUUGGACAUGAAGAAAGAAGCUGUAUGGGCAAUUUCAAAUAUGGCCUCAGGUGCUUCUCAUGAUCAAAUCAAAUACUUGGUGGAGCUUGGCUGCAUAGAACCUUUAUAUGUGAUCUCCUGGUAUGUCAAGAUCCAAGUAUCUGUCUGAAUGGAUUGGAAAACAUUUUGAAGGUUGGAGAGGCAGAGAGAAACAUAGGAGACGUGAACCAUUACUCUCAGCAGAUUGAAGAUGAGGAAGGGCGAGAAAAGAUUGAGAACCUGCAAUACCACGAAAGCAAUGAAAUCUACGAGAAGGCUUUGAAAGUUUCUAGAGACAUACUGGGGUGUAUAGGAUAAUGAGAAGACACAACAACAAAAUCCCAGGUAAUGGAUCUGGUCUAUUUCUUGGCGACAUUUUGGUCUCUAGGACAUCACUGGUUCCGUCGAUUGAAAGUAACAUAGUCGAUAGAGGAGCUUUGGCUCCAUUGUUGUAAUUUAUAAAGGAUUCAUGGAGUCUACACUUGUGUUUCGUUUCGUAUUGAUUUUUAAUGACUUGUAGGAUACUCUUACUUAUUUGCCUUAAA